CACCUAAAUUAGUGUUAGAUUCCCUUAUUAAAAAAAUGAAAGAAAAAAUGGAAAAUUGCCUAGAAACAUCUCGAAACAUAAUCACAUCUCCGUCCUCCACCUCUCAUCUCUUUGUUUAUUCCACCUUUCGUCCUCCAUCUUCCAUUCAUACAACAAUUUCUUCACCCUUGCAAGUUCUUUCAUACUCUAUUUUUUAGAUUAACUAAAUUCAACAACAUUGCAUCAUUCUUUCAUACUCUUACAGAAUAUAAGGGCUUUGAUUUUCUAUUUUCAAACCCUAAAUUAUUUUUGUUUGCGUUGAUCGGAAGGGGGAAAUUUCAUCGAAUGGGCGCUUCUAAUUUCACGUUUCAUCGAAUUCGCGUUUCCGAUUUCGUGGUCUUAAUAUUGGUCUUGAUCGGGUUUUAUCGAAUUUGCAGGCUUCCAAUUUCUAUUUUCUCAUUUGUGGUUUCAGGAGAAAAUGGAAGGAUUUCCCGCAAAAGCUGACGCGUUUUCUUUAAAUAGAGAUAAGAACACCGUAUGUGUCUUUAGUAUGUGUGAAAAGCUAAUUGUGUUCCUUGAAAAGCUGGUUGCCAAAGUCGAAAGUUGAUGCAUUUUCUUUUAACAAAACAUACAGAAGACUGGCAUGAACCAACCUACAUAUUUUAUAUUCUGUUGAUUCCAUAUCAUAUAUAGGGAGUAGAGAAUGUCUUUUGAUUACCGUAGACACCAUUAGUACACAAAAUAGAGAAUUUCCUUUUAUCAUCGCAGACACCAGUAGAACACUUUAUUUCCUUCUUAUAUAAGUUUUUCUUCCUUUUAUAUGACAAAACUUUGAUAUAGGAUUAUCAUAUUGUAGUUACAAAAGAUUAUUAAGGUUAAGGAGUAAAAAUGUAUUGGCACUAAGGGGGAUUUAGACAGAACGUGACCUCAGUAGACGUGCAAGUUGUAGAAAAUCCAUGCAAAGUAGCUUCAGUUAAAUAAAAGUUGUCUGAAAAGUGUUAAAAGGGAUACCUUAACUGGUCAAGUAGCAGCAAACCUUUAGGAAGAGAUUCUGACCCAAUUUCUAUUUAUACAAGUUUUACUCAUACUUUUUUAGUAUUUUGUAAUUUAUUUUCUACAUUAUAUACAUUUUUUUGCUUGGACAGUUUUUUUGAAGCUCUACAAAAUAACGAUCGGGUGAUAUUCAUCAUAUUACCCUUGUGUUGUUCACUAAAGCCAACGGAAAACACAUUUGUUUUUUUCUAUCUUUGAUACCUGACUUCUUAAGCACACUAAGUUUACAAGAGGCAGAUGUAGUCAGGACUAUCAUAAUAACGAGUUGAUCUUUGAAUCAAGACCAAUGUCCAUUACACUAUAGUUCUUUGCUUUCUCAAUUGGAGUUUUUUUUUUAGAAAAUAAUUUUGAAGUUGCAGGGUCUGAUUCAGCGUGAUUUUAGUAUCCAUUCACUCCUUUUUCUUACAUAGGUGCUGCCAAACCCAGCUAGAAGUCGCUGGAGCAGAAUAUCCACUCCAGAACACACAGUUCUAUAACGUUUAAAGACACCAAAAGGCAGAAUAUCCACUCCAGAACACAAAGUUCAAUUUUAUAGUUGUUGCUACUGCCUUGUUCAUAUUUAUAUCAUAAUCUUUUCUGGUUGUUGAUACUUUUUUUUUUAAUAUAGAAAUAUCUUUUGUUAGACAUGUUUAAUAUAUUUUUUGUAGGAGGUCAAGAUGUCAGAUAAUGAAAGACCAAGGCAAAAGAGGAUAGAAGAUAAUAGAUCGAAAAUGAAGGAAUUGGUCCGGGGGUUGAAUCAAUGGCUUACCAAGUAAGUCAAAUGGUGAAGAGCUGAAAACAAACGAAGAGGAGUAAGAUGCAAUCGCAGAAGGUGGCACAAGAUAGUAACGAGUACAUAUCUGGUGUAGAGGGUGAACUAAAUCACUCAAGUGAAGAGAAUACCGAUGAGAUGAGGACAAGGAGUGUAAACUUGAGGUCUGGCUCUAAGACGGUACAAGGUUCCUUUAUGUAAUAACAUUUAUGAAUUAUAAUUAGUUAACUAUUCAUAUGAAAAGUUUAAUAAUUUUAAGCGUAACUGUGUUUAGGUUUCGGCAAUGAGAGGGAGAAGUCCCACUAAGAUGAAAGAGACUUUAGAAGGAUAAGAUUACUAUUAGACUAUUAGUACUCCCUCCGUCCCUUAAUACUCGCACAGCUUUCCUUUUCGGGCCGUCCCUUAAUACUUGCACUGCUUCUAUAAAUGGAAAUCUUUACCAAUAUUAUAUCAUUUUUCACACUUACCUACUACCCCACCUACACCCCUACUCCCUACAAAAAAAUCAUUUAAAAAUCCACACCUCUCACUCAUCAUUCUCCACCCCUUACACAUUUCCUUCUAACAAUAAUAAAAAAUACCCCACUAUCAACUAACAUCCAUUAAAUUAAUAAGUCAAUUCAAAUGUCUUAAACUCCGCACCGGUUUGACCGGUGCGAGUAUUAAGGGACGGAGGGAGUAGUAUUUACAGUGUUUUCAACUUCUGUACUCUUCUUUGGUUGUCAUGGAUGCAGAGUCGAAAGAAGGCAGGUGAUGCAUCUAAACAAGAAGGAAAAGACUAGUCUAGGGACCGAUGAUAGGUCAUGCAGAUAAGGAAGGGAAGGAGAACAAAAUCACAAGAUAGAUCCGAGGAUAACAAAUCUGAGCUGAAGUCUGAAGAUGACUCUAAACAUUGUAGUUAAUAUUGCACAUUCAUUUUUUUUAGGGAUUAGGAAGUUUUGGUGUUGCCGUUGUUGUUCUGUACUGCUCGAAUUCAGGCAUUGGAGUGGUGUGGGUGUUACUUUGGUAAUACUGGCGGAGUUGGCUAGUGGUUCAUCUCUAUUGUUGGGUUGGUUGUUGUUUUGGGGUGUGUAAGCCAACUGGUGUCUAACCAAACCUGAUGAUUUUGGUGCUCCCUGUUGUGUGAAGAUCGACUAGGGUCUGCUCUAUUUUGAUUGCUGGUUUGAGUUGCAGUUUUUGAGUUCACAUAAGGAGUUUCAUGGGUGUUAUUUCAAUCUGGUGGGAAGCAAUGUAUGUUGUUGGCUUUAAGGGCAUUUUCUGUUGUUGCUUAUCUGUUGAAGUUUUGGUCAUUGUUGACUUGAGGUUACCGUUUUGCUCGGUUUCAUCGUUAGUAGGAUUACAGGUUUUUUUUUUUUUUUUUGAGACAAUGGAUUGCAGGUUUUUGUUUCUUUGUUUUGGAGUUUUUGGAUGUUUUUGUAUAUAACUAUGAAAUUAUAUCAAUUUAAAUUAUUAAAUA